AAUCAAGCGCGAAAAGGGCGUUUGGUGGAUGCCUUGGCAGUAAGAGGCGAUGAAGGACGUGAUACUCUGCGAUAAGUCAUGGGGAGCUGAGAAUAAGCUUUGAUCCAUGAAUUUCCGAAUGGGGCAACCCACUUGAUACUCUGUUAUUGUUAUCUUCUUGAUAUCAAUAAUGGGGUAAGACAAGUACUUUUUACCUGAAUACAUAGGGUUUAAAGAGCAAACCCGGGGAACUGAAACAUCUAAGUACCCGGAGGAAAGGAAAUCAAUAGAUACUCCCUUAGUAGCGGCGAGCGAACGGGGAUCAGCCGAGCUGAAAUUGUGACUAGAAUCCGUUGGAAAGCGGAGCAAUAUGGGUGACAGCCCCGUAUAGGAAGCAUGAUCAGACGUAUUAAGUAGGGCGGGACACGUGAAAUCCUGUCUGAACAUGGGGGGACCACCCUCUAAGGCUAAGUACUCCUUACUGACCGAUAGUGUACCAGUACCGUGAGGGAAAGGUGAAAAGCACCCCGACGAGGGGAGUGAAACAGUUUCUGAAACCGGACGCCUACAAUCAGUUGGAGGGCCCUUGAGGCCUGACAGCGUACCUUUUGUAUAAUGGGUCAACGACUUGGUCUCACAAGCAAGCUUAAGCCGAUAGGUGUAGGCGCAGCGAAAGCGAGUCUUAAUAGGGCGAAUGAGUUUGUGGGAUCAGACCCGAAACCGAGUGAUCUAGGCAUGACCAGGUUGAAGGUACAGUAACAUGUACUGGAGGACCGAACCCACACCUGUUGAAAAAGGUCGGGAUGAGUUGUGCCUAGGGGUGAAAGGCCAAUCAAACUCGGAGAUAGCUGGUUCUCCGCGAAAUCUAUUUAGGUAGAGCGUCAGCCGAAUACCCCGGGGGGUAGAGCACUGAAUGGGUAAUGGGGACUCACCGUCUUACUGAUCCUAAUCAAACUCCGAAUACCCGGGAGUAAUAGCUGGCAGACACACUGCGGAUGCUAACGUCCGUAGUGAAAAGGGAAACAACCCUGACCAACAGCUAAGGCCCCUAAUUCAUGGCUAAGUGGGAAAGCAUGUGGGACGACCAAAACAACCAGGAGGUUGGCUUAGAAGCAGCCAUCCUUUAAAGAUAGCGUAACAGCUCACUGGUCUAGAUAAGUUAUCCUGCGGCGAAGAUGUAACGGGGCUCAAGCCAUGAGCCGAAGCUUUGGAUGCACAUAGUGCAUGGUAGCGGAGCGUUCUGUGAUAUAGAACGCUUCCUCUUUAGCACCUUCGGGUGUUUUGGAGGAAAAGUUCUGUCUGAGAAGCCGGGGCGUAAGCCAUCCGGUGGAGAGAUCAGAAGUGAGAAUGUUGACAUGAGUAGCGAUAAAGAGGGUGAGAGACCCUCUCGCCGAAAGUCCAAGGGUUCCUGCUUAAAGCUAAUCUGAGCAGGGUAAGCCGACCCCUAAGGCGAGGCCGAAAGGCGUAGUCGAUGGGAACCAGGUUAAUAUUCCUGGGCCGUGGAGUGGUGACGGAUCUGAGACGUAGUUCAUCCUUAUUGGAUUGAAUGGGCUGCUAACAGGUUCCUGGAAAUAGCCCUCCUAUAAGAUCGUACCCUAAACCGACACAGGUGGACUGGUAGAGAAUACCAAGGCGCUUGAGAGAACCACAUUUAAGGAACUCGGCAAAAUACCUCCGUAAGUUCGCGAGAAGGAGGCCCCGUCAGGACGCAAGUCUCGGCGGGGGGCACAAACCAGGGGGUGGCGACUGUUUACUAAAAACACAGGGCUCUGCGAAGUCGUAAGACGACGUAUAGGGUCUGACGCCUGCCCGGUGCCUGAAGGUUAAAAGGAGGAGUGCAAGCUCCGAAUUGAAGCCCAGGUAAACGGCGGCCGUAACUAUAACGGUCCUAAGGUAGCGAAAUUCCUUGUCGGGUAAGUUCCGACCUGCACGAAUGGCGUAACGACUUCCCCGCUGUCUCAAAUGUGGACUCAGCGAAAUUGAAUUGCCUGUCAAGAUGCAGGCUUCCCGCGGUUAGACGGAAAGACCCCGUGCACCUUUACUACAGCUUCACACUGGCAUUAGGCUAGCGAUGUGCAGAAUAGGUGGUAGGCUUUGAUAUAGUGACGCCAGUUGCUAUUGAGCCUCCUUUGAGAUACCACCCUUUGCUCGCUUGAUGUCUAACCGCGGUCCGUUAUCCGGAUCCGGGACCCUGUGUGGCGGGUAGUUUGACUGGGGCGGUCGCCUCCUAAAGAGUAACGGAGGCGCGCGAAGGUUGGCUCAGAGCGGUCGGAAAUCGCUCGUUGAGUGCAAUGGCAGAAGCCAGCCUGACUGCAAGUCUGACAAGACGAGCAGAGACGAAAGUCGGCCAUAGUGAUCCGGUGGUCCCGAGUGGAAGGGCCAUCGCUCAACGGAUAAAAGGUACGCCGGGGAUAACAGGCUGAUGGUGCCCAAGAGUCCAUAUCGACGGCACCGUUUGGCACCUCGAUGUCGGCUCAUCUCAUCCUGGGGCUGGAGUAGGUCCCAAGGGUACGGCUGUUCGCCGUUUAAAGAGGUACGUGAGCUGGGUUUAGAACGUCGUGAGACAGUUCGGUCCCUAUCUGCCGUGGGUGUAGGAGACUUGAAGGGAGUUGCCCCUAGUACGAGAGGACCGGGGUGAACGAUCCACUGGUGGACCAGUUGUUAUGCCAAUAGCAGUGCUGGGUAGCUAUGAUCGGACAGGAUAACCGCUGAAGGCAUCUAAGCGGGAAGCCCCCCCUAAAACAAGGUCUCCCUGAGGGCCGUAGUAGACCACUACGUCGAUAGGUUGGAGAUGUAAGUGCAGUAAUGCAUUCAGUUGACCAAUACUAAUUGCCCGAUAGGCUUGAUUUG
rfam:Rhodobacterales bacterium HTCC2150 1101159006523, whole genome shotgun sequence.